AGAGAGAAGAGAACAGCAGUAGCUGUUGCCAGAAAUAUUGAGCAAGGAAGAUUUAUUAGAUGAAGAUUUCAAAAUACUUUCCAUUGAGGAAACAGGUUGGAGGUGGGAGGCUGUAACCAUGCUUGAUUUUGUACCACCCUAACCUUUGCUUACUUCGCAAGGUUAGGAACAGGCUUCACUUCAUUGUGAUGUGUGUAAGGUGACAGAGGACACAACGAAUACGUGGAAGAACUAGGAAUUUGACCUUAGCUUCCAGACAUUUUGAGGAUGA